CAUAUGCUUGUCUCAAAGAUUAAGCCAUGCAUGUCUCAGUACAAGCCGCAUUAAGGUGAAACCGCGAAAGGCUCAUUAAAUCAGUUAUGGUUCCUUAGAUCGUACCCACAUUUACUUGGAUAACUGUGGUAAUUCUAGAGCUAAUACAUGCAAACAGAGUUCCGACCGGAGACGGGAGGAAUGCUUUUAUUAGAUCAAAACCAAUCGGCGGCGGGCCUCGGUCCGUUCGCCGCUCAAUUUGGUGACUCUGAAUAACUUUCGGCUGAUCGCACGGUCUCGCACCGGCGACGCAUCUUUCAAAUGUCUGCCUUAUCAACUGUCGAUGGUAGGUUCUGCGCCUACCAUGGUCGUAACGGGUAACGGGGAAUCAGGGUUCGAUUCCGGAGAGGGAGCCUGAGAAACGGCUACCACAUCCAAGGAAGGCAGCAGGCGCGCAAAUUACCCACUCCCGGCACGGGGAGGUAGUGACGAAAAAUAACGAUACGGGACUCAUCCGAGGCCCCGUAAUCGGAAUGAGUACACUUUAAAUCCUUUAACGAGGAUCAAUUGGAGGGCAAGUCUGGUGCCAGCAGCCGCGGUAAUUCCAGCUCCAAU
rnacentral:rRNA from 7 species